rnacentral:rRNA from 1 species
CCUACGGGAGGCAGCAGUGGGGAAUUUUGGACAAUGGGCGCAAGCCUGAUCCAGCCAUGCCGCGUGUGGGAAGAAGGCCUUCGGGUUGUAAACCACUUUUGUCAGGGAAGAAACGGCUCUUACUAAUAUUGGGAGCUAAUGACGGUACCUGAAGAAUAAGCACCGGCUAACUACGUGCCAGCAGCCGCGGUAAUACGUAGGGUGCAAGCGUUAAUCGGAAUUACUGGGCGUAAAGCGUGCGCAGGCGGCUUUGCAAGACAGAUGUGAAAUCCCCGGGCUCAACCUGGGAACUGCAUUUGUGACUGCAUGGCUAGAGUACGGUAGAGGGGGAUGGAAUUCCGCGUGUAGCAGUGAAAUGCGUAGAUAUGCGGAGGAACACCGAUGGCGAAGGCAAUCCCCUGGACCUGUACUGACGCUCAUGCACGAAAGCGUGGGGAGCAAACAGGAUUAGAUACCCUGGUAGUCCACGCCCUAAACGAUAUCACUAGUUGUUGGUACGGCGUGUCUGUUCUAGUAACGAAGACGUAACGACGUAGAAGUUAGUACCGCCGUCGGGGAGGGUACGGGCCGGCCGAACGGUUAGGUAAACGUAACGAAAUAAGUAAGUUAGUACGGCGUGAGACGUUAGCCGAACGGACGGACCGACGACGGGGAGGGAGGGAG